UUCUUUCAUGCCCAAUUUCAAAUGUAUAGGCUGUUCUGUGACUUUCAUUCACAUCAUAUUCUUGAUGUCCAGUGUAUGCUUAAUCCUUUGCGAAUCCUUUAGCAGAUUCAGCUGGGUAGAUAUUUUAUCUGUAAUGAAACUUUUCUUAACCCUGGGACCUGCAAAAAAUGAUGGAUGUGUGUGGUCAGAAGCAAAGUGAAGCAGUUAGUAACUUAAUGUUUCUGGCCUCUGGUGCAGAAUGUGGUUUGUGAUAAAAAGAAGAGAUAGUACCUAGGACAUGCAGUAAUUACUACUUUAUUCCAACAUAUUUUUAUUCAUUAUUUUAGAUAUCUCUUUAAACAACAGGGCAUCUUCUGUAUUUUUUCCCAGGGACAAGACUACAGCAGAACCAAUUAUUCCUUUCCAGAAGGCAGAGGAAGGAUUUGUUUUUCACAUGGGAUGGAUGGAUGGAAAGAUGAAGAGAUAAAUGCUGGCUGGGGGGGGUCACAGAUUCACUUGGCAGCAGGGAAUGAACCACAACUGCGAGUUACAGCGAGUCACCAAAGUUUUCCUUCCCAUUCAGCCCCAGUUUGUAGCCCGGGGAAUAAGGAUUAGAUCGCCAUGAUGAAGCCCACGCUUUGUCCAGCGCAGAGCGACCCCUGCGGCGCUUGGGUUGCGUGUGCCACCCGCUCUGCUGGGCUAGGGCUGGAAAAGAGCUUGUUAUCCGAAAUGUGCAAAAGCUGCGGUCCAGCUGCGCUCCCAUGGCAGCGUGUGCGAGCUGCCGGGUUUCGGGAGGAGGCGGGAAACCAAACCAUUAAACGCUGCCGCAGGAAACUGCUGAGUCAGAACUGGGGUAAUCACGUGAAACGCCGAAAAAAGAAACCGUGGUGGGGAGGUGGAGGGACCGGGGAGCAGGUUGCAGCGAAGGGAUGCAGAGCUUCCUGCUGGAAAAACACAUUCCCAGAUGGGCAGGAAGAGCCCUGUUACACGGACAUAACCCAUGUACCUACAGCUCGGUGUAACCGUGCGCUGGCUGCCCGGGUUGGUGACGGCGAGGCAGGAGCUGGGCUUUGGCACGGGGCUGGGACAGCAGGUGACCCUCCGCCCUGGCUGUCCCGCCGUGGGCAUCCUGGACGCUGUGGGGUGCAGGGGGAGGUGGUGCGUUGGGGUACCCCCUGCGCCCCGAGCGUUUCCAGCUGCCGUGGGGUGCGACGUGCGCUACAGCCUGCGCCAGCAGAUCAGACUUAGGCGUUUUGUGAGUGACGCCAAACUACUGCUACACGUGCAUCUGUUUAAUGCGCAAAACCCCCGUUUGACUGACAACGUAUUCUUAGGGCUUGUAACAUCAAAGUAGAAAAACGUCAAUACUCCCAAUUUUCUGUUUUUAUCAGCAUGCAUUGCUAACUUGCUGGAGACACAUCUGUCAGCCUCAGAACAGGAAUGAUUCUGUGGCAAUGACUGGCUCUGCACACAAGGCACCUCCCACUUCCAACGCUUUCGGAACACGUGUUGGCUGUAACUUUUUCAGUGAAAUUUCAGCAGGAAAUUUCAAAUUUCAGCAGGAAGUUAUGCCUAAAAUACAGGCUUGGGAGGGAGACUAUGUAUUAUACAGUAACUUUCAUAUCUGUAUAUUGUAACUGCAGGACUGCAGUGCUACAGGACCCCUUAUGACCUAGAAUAACAUUACAUUCCUUUAACAGCAUAUCAAGGCAUAUGAUAUAUGUAAUUAUGAUAUAUAUAAUUAUGAUAGGUGUCUUGCGCAGCCUGUAGUGUAAAUUAUUAGAGCAGCCUUGCUUUGAGCCUCAAACUACCACCAGCUGCAAGACUGCCUUGAUAAAGUCAAGGGGCUGCUUUUGAAAAAGGUAUCUGUUUCUGACUGGUAACGAAUUAUCAGAUAUACUUCAAGUUCAGAGACUACACAAGGGUAAAACAGGACAUGCAUUGGGAUAAUUUCACAUGAGGUUUAGCCCGGGAGGGGAAAAAGGGCAGUUAAAGUGAACAUCUUGCUAAUAAUCCAGCACUGAGAUUUCAUGCUGAAUUAGAACUACUUGCCGCUCCAAAUGGUAAAGAGAAAUCUGUUCCAUGUAAUCUUAGAUGCGAUUUACUCUCUAUUUGCAAAGUCACAGUGACUAAGCUUUGCCGAACGGCGUCUGCUGCCCGACCCUCUGCGUGCCCUCGUUACAUAAUGCAUCUCAAAUGCUGGAUCUGCUGAAAAAGCAGUGACUGCAAUUUCCUCGUUACUGAAAAUAUCAUUAGAGAGAGCAGAAGCUCUAGACUUAACACUUCUUUGACAAGACAAAAUUUCACGGCAAAUUAAGAUGACUUAGGUAUUUUAACACAAUAGUACAUGGUGACCCCUAUUUUCCUCCAGCUCGAAAAUACUGGGGUUCCAAGCUGACAAAUAACUGAUUGCUUGAAGGAGGAAGCUAAAAAACUAUCAUCAGUCUUGCAGAAGAAAAAUGACUAACUGCGUUCUCUCUGAAUAGUCUGGUUUGGCAUUAGUGGCUCGGCAUUAGCAGCUGAAGUAGCUGAUUAAUUGUAAACUUUUGAUAAAACUAAUGCUGCUAAGGCAGAACUCACUGAAUUCAGCAGAUAGGAGCAAAAUGAAGGAGCAAGGAGACAAUUCCAAGAGAAUGAAGUAACUUCAGGGGAAGGCCAGCCCAGUGACAGUGGGAACAGCAGCAAGACAAGCUGUAUUAAAGAUGAUCUCAUAUCAGGAAGCAGUUACCAGCCCAGAGGAAACACCUGCUCCGUUGUAGGCUGAUCAGCACCCAUCGCUCCUCUUCCCAGGGAACUCCACAUGUUGCAAGGUGCUCUCUGCACAAAUUCCAACGUCUCUCAACCCCUCAAGUAACUUCUGAGGUGUCCAUUUGCUAAAUACCACAGUUGUCCACGAGCCCUCGUCCCUUUGAGGGGAAGGGGGGAAGGUAAAUCCAAAGUUACUGUCUUAAACUUGAUUUGGCAUCAGUUUCUCAGUGACAUAUAUUGCCCUUCAUACAGUAACAAGUUAAAAGUAUUUACUGGUCUCUGGUGUUUUUCUCAGAGUAGACAGAUCUAUCACUUCAAAUACCCAUCUGCUUCUCUAGGAUUUUUUUUGUUAUUCAACAUAAUUGUUUAGGAUUGCAGAGAGUGGAAGAAGUAGGAAAUAUUCUAAGGAGAAAUUAUUAGUGGGUAAAACCAUCCCAUGCAUUUAGAUGCUUCCAAGCUGUAAGAGCGAAGGAAAGCACCUGGGCAGCAUUAGUGGAAGGCACUGACCGUAACUAUUAAACACCACCGUGCACUAGGGAGGUGUUGUUAUUCCUUUGUGCUUCAGUAAUUGCACCAGAGCCAUUGAAACAAUUAGUGCCCAUCCUGGGAGCCAAGCAAUGGGGGUACAGCAGAGCGCCCCCCCCUUGGGUAGUUUUGUACCACUGCUGGUGCUGCUACAUAUUCUAAUCCCGAUCCAGAAUUCGCGAGCAUGUUUAGUUUUUCCCCUCCAAUAACUUUGUAGAAGACUUAGUUAAAAAUAAAAAAUUCAGGAAUGGAAGCCACUUAGAAAACUCAAGGGAUUUUAAUGAUUGAAUGAAGAAGGAGCUACUUCGUAUUAUAUUUAAGUAGCAAACAAUUAUUUUGCUAUCAAAACACAGGCUAAAGAAUUUAAAGAAGCCACAAACAUUAGUAAGCCCAACAUACAGAACUUGGAGUAAGAAGGCGUUUUACACACGAGUUUAUCAACACAAAACUGUUUAAUAUUUAUUAAAUGACACAAAAUACCUAGGUAACAGACUCACUCUCUGAAAGGACAUGUAUUUACAUUAUUUACCAACUUAAGAAAGACUCUCUGUACCCAUAUCAGACUUAUGAAACAUAAAAAAGGUUUUGCUGCUUUUGGCAUCGAAGGAUGCACUGGUGAUACAUGCCCUGCUUGCAAGUCUGCAUAAACUCUAACAUCUGAUGCAGUGAAAAAGCACAACUUCAUAUGCUGGCAGCCGAGGGAAGAGAAGAGGCUUCUGAAAAGUAACAGGGUUAGUUUUUCCCCCACUCCAGACAUACUCUGAAGAACUGUUAUACAAAAAGUAUAUUACAUUUUUGAAUGCUGCUGUACUCUUACAAUUUUAGUGUAACGUUUCAAAGAAAAUAUUCUUCCUACUAUAUGAAAUCACUAAAAAAAAAAAAAGUGGUAUUUGAACAUUUCUUUAGAUGCACUUUUGUUUUUUUUCUUUUAAAGAAAGCAUUGGGGGAAAUGAUAUGUCUAGGAAAAAAAUGACCAAACAAAGAGACCAAAAUAUGAAGAACAGCUAAAGCAACUUAACAAUUUGCUAGGGUUUGUCUUGUUUUAUUUACUAUUUACUUUGGCACCUUUGUGUAAACUAUAGAACAAAAAGACGUUUACAACACAUUUGCAAUUACAGCAUUUAAACAAAAUGGUCACUUUUAAAACCAGCCAAGACAAAAAAAUAGU